rnacentral:rRNA from 1 species
UACAGAGGUCUCAAGCGUUGCUCGGAUUCAUUGGGCGUAAAGGGUGCGUAGGCGGCGGCGUAAGUCGGGUGUGAAAUCCCAGGGCUCAACCCUGGAACUGCACUCGAUACUGCGUCGCUGGAGGACUGGAGAGGAGACUGGAAUUCACGGUGUAGCAGUGAAAUGCGUAGAUAUCGUGAGGAAGGCCAGUGGCGAGGGCGAGUCUCUGGACAGUUCCUGACGCUGAUGCACGAAGGCCAGGGGAGCAAACGGG